AGAGUUUGAUCAUGGCUCAGGACGAACGCUGGCGGCGUGCCUAACACAUGCAAGUCGAACGAGGUCCAUCCAGUGGCAACACUGGUGAAGACCUAGUGGCGAACGGGUGAGUAACACGUGAGGAACCUGCCCCGAAGACCGGGAUAACCCUCCGAAAGGAGAGCUAAUACCGGAUACCCCCACUGGAUCGCAUGAUCCGGUGAGGAAAUGGAUUCCGCUUCGGGAGGGCCUCGCGGCCUAUCAGCUAGUUGGUGGGGUAACGGCCCACCAAGGCAUCGACGGGUAGCUGGUCUGAGAGGACGAUCAGCCACACUGGGACUGAGACACGGCCCAGACUCCUACGGGAGGCAGCAGUGGGGAAUCUUGCGCAAUGGGCGAAAGCCUGACGCAGCAACGCCGCGUGGGGGAUGAAGGCUCUCGGGUUGUAAACCCCUUUCAGUAGGGACGAAUCAAGACGGUACCUACAGAAGAAGCCCCGGCUAACUACGUGCCAGCAGCCGCGGUAACACGUAGGGGGCAAGCGUUGUCCGGAUUUAUUGGGCGUAAAGAGCUCGUAGGCGGUUCGGUAAGUCGGGUGUUAAACCCUCAGGCUCAACCUGGGGCCCCACCCGAUACUGCUGUGACUAGAGUCCGGUAGGGGAGCGUGGAAUUCCUGGUGUAGCGGUGAAAUGCGCAGAUAUCAGGAGGAACACCAGCGGCGAAGCGGCGCUCUGGGCCGGAACUGACGCUGAGGAGCGAAAGCGUGGGUAGCAAACAGGAUUAGAUACCCUAGUAGUCC
rnacentral:rRNA from 1 species